rnacentral:misc_RNA from 1 species
AACACUGUUAACCUGCGGUACCUGCGGAAGGAUCAUUACGAGAGUGUCACCACUCCCAACCCAUUGUUUACCUACCCGUCCACCGUGCUUCGGCAGGCAGCCCUGUGGGACAGAGCCUCGCCCCCCUCCGCGGGGGGUGCCUGCCGCUGGCCAACCAACAACUCUAGCUGUUUUAGUACCAUCUGAGUCUUCCACAAAUGAACAAAACUUUUAACAAUGGAUCUCAGAUCGGAAGAGCAC